rnacentral:rRNA from 1 species
CGAUGUCGGCUCAUCACAUCCUGGGGCUGUAGUAGGUCCCAAGGGUUGGGCUGUUCGCCCAUUAAAGUGGUACGCGAGCUGGGUUCAGAACGUCGUGAGACAGUUCGGUCCCUAUCCGUCGCAGGCGUAGGAAAUUUGAGAAGACCUGUCCUUAGUACGAGAGGACCGGGAUGGACGUACCUCUGGUGUACCAGUUGUUCUGCCAAGGGCAUGGCUGGGUAGCUAUGUACGGAAUGGAUAAGCGCUGAAAGCAUCUAAGCGCGAAGCCAACUUCAAGAUAAGAUUUCCCACCGCAAGGGUAAGACCCCAGAAAGACUAUCUGGUUGAUAGGUCGAAGGUGUAAGUGCAGCAAUGUAUUUAGCUUAUCGAUACUAAUAGGUCGAGGACUUGACCAAAUU